CUCCCAUCAACAACCAAUGUCCCUAAGGAAGCCGCGUCCGGGGUACCCGCUGUCCACACCAAACCCCUCACGUUCCACGCCCGGGUCACGCUGUUUUAACUCCUGCUGGAGUCGCCACGGCUGCUCUGCAUGCCAGCGGUCAGUCCACAACAACCCUCUGUCUGUCCCAUGGAUUCAGCUCCGGAGCAGCCACGGAGCUAUGCAUGGUGCGUACAGGAAACAGCCUACAACUCCAUGUCAAGUCUGCUAAAGAAAAUUUUCUAAAUACAAGCCCCUGGAUCCUGACUUCUCCCAAACACGUUCUCCAAACAGCUCCUGCAGUUUUCCCCCUCGGAGUAACAGAUCCUUCAACCGUGCAAUUUUUUUUAAUUCAACAUCAUUUGCAGCAUGCCGACAAGAUCUAGAAUCUAUUUGUACGCCAAAGGAGAAUUUUCCUCGUGCUUCUGUUAAGCCGUGUUUCGUUUUCACAUUCAUCUUGCACACUGGAUUUAAUCUACCAUUGACAAAUGCUCAGCCAGCUGCCCUAAGCCCCAUGGCUGCCCGCUUGUCUGCCAGCUCACCCGGAGCCUCCCGGCUGGGGUCCGGCAGCAGAGCCCCAGCAAGAGUGGGCUCCGCAUCCUCAUUAGUGGAGCGAUGCUUUUAGGGAAAAUCAAUGGGAUUCUGAGUGCCAGUCACCAUUCACAGCUGUCUGAUUAGAGUCCCAUCACAGAAGCAUCCCGCACAGAGAUAAGUGUGCUGCCUGCAAUUACAGAGAUGUGCCCCAGGGGUAAAUUCGAUCCCGGGAGAGGAAGGGAUCCAUCUCUUCUUCAAACUGCCUGCAAGCCAGAAAGAGUGAGGGGAACUCAUCGCUCAAACAUGAAAGGAAACACAUGCACAGUGCAAACAUACCCUGCAGUUCACCCCCAGGAUGAGGCUGGGAGGACAAGCUAAGCUUCCCAAGACUUUUUGCUGUUGUGCUUAUAAAAAUGGGGAUUUAUUGAGCACAAUGAUUACAGUGGCGCUUGGACAGCUACUGAGGAAACAGACACUGUGGUGAGCAGAUGUUAUUCUCGACCAUGCUGGACUCAUUUAUCAACCCCAACGUGCCACCUGCCUCAAACUCCUGAAGGUCAGAGGUAAAAAGCUGAAAUCAUGUAUGGAUUGAGAGAGCCAGUGGAUCCACUACAGACAGAUAACAGACAACCCAGGGCAUGGCUGGCAAACAAAUGAAUAAUGAAUUGAAUUCCAGCCCAACUGUUGCAUUGGACUGACUGCACUGAAGAGCCCACCUGUUCACCACUGAAGUAGUCAGCUCUGCCUGAAUUAACACACCUACAAGCAGGAGGAACCUCAGGAGAGGGAAGACUCAGGGCUGGAGCAGGGAUGGGCCCCAUCAGCAGCCACUCCACUCCCUGAUCCCACAGCAGGGCCUCUCUCCAGGGAAGCCAGCUGGCCAGCACAGCUCCACACCAAGGCACAGGAAGGGCAGCUCUCCAUCAAAUUCCAGAUAAUGCUGCAGUGCUGAUAACUACAGAGUUAUUUCAGGCCUUUACAUCAGCACAGGUCUUUUAGCCACUACUUUAUACAGGCCCCCAAAAGAGUGAUCUCAGAAUCAGAAACACACAGUAUUGUGUGCUUGGUCUGAGACUCUGCUGCUCUGCUUAUUUGACUCCUGAGGUUCCCCAAUAUAGUCAAUAAUAGUCUGGGUGGCAAGUUACACCACCAAGAAUUCAGAUCCAUUGGCAUCUGCUGCUGCUUUGUCAUGUCAUGAAGUACUUCCUGUAGGUGCCAAGGGCUGUCAGCAAGCCCUUCUCCUGCCUCUCUCUGACUGCCAGGUCAGUAAAGAAUUAGUUCCCAGGAUGCCACACAGCCUUUCCCAAUACAGACAAUACUUUUUUUUUUUUUUAAAGAGGUCAACAAAAAGUUACUUCAAAGAACUCAAAGCAUCUGUUCUUUAAUACCUGGGUAUUACACACCUAAAUAUGCUCCCAUAAAAGGUUAAGAAAGCUGCACAAUCCAGAAGCAGCUGAUCCAGCACAAAGUGACCAGAGUGAAUCUCAGCCUCGGGCUACCCUGACAGCCUGCACAAACUGUGGUGGGGAGAGGCAAACCCUUUCCUCCACUCUGCAUCAUGCCACAAGCAGCAGAGAUGUGAUGGCUGCUGCACAAACCUUUAUCCCCUGUCUCUUGCAGGGAAGCAUCAAUGGGCUGAGCAGCACAUCCCCACGGAGUUGUUUUGCUCUGCUGGCCUCCUGCUGGACCUUCCACACCUGGCAGCUUGGGAACCAAAUGGAAAUGCUGGAGAGAGCUCCUACCCCAGCUGUGUCACCAGCUUGCUUCAUGCUGUUUCAACAUGCUCAUCUCCACCACUGGUGACAAAGCUUGGCCCUUUCACUUUGAAGUCUCUGCCUAGGAUGUUUUUCUUGGAGGAGGGAAGGGAGAUGGAAGAAAAGACUUCUAAGUCUCACCAUGAAGAAAAGGAUUUGUAAGAGAAUUCAACCAGGUUUUUUUGAACACUUGCUUAGAUUGUCUUUUGGAUUCAUAAACAAAGACAUGAAGACGCGCUUGCAUACUUUAAGUAUGCAAAUUUAAUAUAUUUCUGAAAACAAGAGAACGCUUCAGACUACAUACUGGGAAACUUGAGGCAAGCACUGAUGCCCCACAUCACUGCCUGUCUGACCAGCAAUAGUCAGACAGAGAGCAGUUCUAAUUCCUCAGGACAUGAAAUAUCCACCACAACUGAACUAGGCACGAAAGACCGAGCAAGCACUAAAGUUAGAUGACAUUUGCUAAUUUAGUUUUCAAGUUGAGUACAUAUUUUGGGUCAGCACAACAGUAACAAAACUCCUGGUAGACAGAGAAACGUGAAGUUAACUUAUGAAAUGCUGACUGCUGUAUUCCACCUGCACUCGAACACAACCACAUCCAGUCUGGAAGAGUCCAUCUCCUUCUACCAUUCCAGCAAAACAUUUCAUGUUCCAAGGCAGGGAUCACAUCUGCACUGGCAGCAUGAGUACAUCUCCCCAGCCCAACAACCCUAGCACAGACACAGAUCAUGAGUUGUUCUGUACAACACAAUUUGCAAAACCAUCACCAGCAACAAGAAGGCAGUAACAGCAGCACAACUGGUUUUACUGGCCUGACUACAAGCUGUGGUCUAACAGCUGAACAGGGGAAGACGUGAAAUAGUUAUUCCUGGGUUCUUUCUCUAGAUCCAUGAGAUACCAUCCCUAUACCACAGAUACCACCUUCAAAAUCCCCACACAAUUUUGGGUGCUGGGCCGUUGAUUUGCCAUUCAAUACAGCAAUGCCUCGAGAGAGCAUCUGCUUGGUUUGGAUAUAGAAGUUUUUACACUGGAACAUGGAUCACAAUCUCUUGAAGUAGCUACCUGGAAGUAGCUACUUUAGAAACUACCACCAGUUUCUAAAUCUGUGAAGUUUAAUGUGUGAGUUUUUCUUUACCAAACAAUCUUAUAGUGGCUUUCUUUUGUGUUUUGAGAUACUGAUGAGAGGCCAGAUAUCUAUUUUUGAUUUAGAAAAAUGGAAAAAAGAGCUACAGAAACCAUUCAGAUGGUUUUUUUCUGCCCCACUAUACAGGUGAUCAGUUAUUCUGCCCAAAACAAGGAGUUACACUAAGCAAUACCAGAUCAAAGAAAGACUACUUAUAGCUGAGAACAGUCAUGGUGGGUCAGGAACAUCCCAGGCACUCUGUCCUUCCUUAGCAGGGAUGCCACAUCCUGUAUACUGGAGAGUAUCAGCACUGAGGGGCUCCUAGCAUCACUGCAUGCAAAUCAGAGUAGCAGCACACUGAGCAGACCUGACAGGAUUUAAACCACACAAUGCUUUUCAUCUCUGUAUCUCUUUUCCCAGUCUCUCCUACUAUGUCAUGCUUGAAGACCUUUUCUCUUGGCAAUACAUCCAGAGAUGUCUGUCUCCUUCUGAGGACAGCUCAUGACAACAGCCUUCUCUACGGGCAGUGAAUCCCAGGUUGCUCAUGUUGUCUGUACUGUGGCACUACCUCAAAGGAAAAUCCAGAAGGUACUGACUGCCCUGUGCUUCUCCACACAGACAGGUUCCCAAAGCUCCACUACUUGUGGUCUCCCCUCAGUCCUUGUCUCUGUCCAACAUCAUCUUGCAAAUUUAUUUUCCCUAGGCCUCCAUACCAACACGACUCUGAGCUCCUCUGACCCUUGCAGGCCAACUGAAUCACCUUUCCUCACUGUCAUGACAGCCAGUAGUAUCCCAGCAGUCCUCACACUACAGUCCCAUCCAUCUGAGCUUCCAACAAACACCUCACUUACACAACACAAGGAGCAACACAACUUCCCACUGUUCCCUCCAGUCUCUGAGAUUGGAGAGAGGGAGAACUGCAAUCAGCCCAUCUCAUUAACCCCCCGCUGCUCCAAUGCAACAGAGCUCAGAGCACAGCUCAGCACUUCAAAACUACUGCUUGUAAAAAACUAUAAUGAAAUCUGUGAAUUAAGGUUCACUGCUCACACCAAAAUUCUGGGGACCAGUUUACUUGAUGCCAACUCACAGAGCUUAUAAUGGUGCAGCACUGUGGGACAGUGAUCAAGGAGAGUAAAGCCUAUGUGACAAGUGACAGGCUGCCAGGGUCCACUGCUGGACUGGAAGCAGGUGAACUAAAACACCCAAUGAAACCACCAAGCAAAAAUCUGGUUAUUAAAAGUUCUCCUUCAUUUACAAACCUGGGAACAAAUGAACAACUUAGUAAAUAUCUAGGUGAAAUAAAUCCCAGAAGGACUGGGAUUUAAAGUAAUUUAAAUGUUGGGAGGUAAUUUAAAAGUUGUCAGAAAUGAUCAAUACAUAGAUGUAUUUUUACUCCUACUGUUAGGACACAAGGGUAGAUUUCCUGUGCAAAAGCAAAAAAUCCCAAGAACUACUUUCUGGAUCCAGAAAAAAAAGCCAACAAAAACCCCUCAGUUGUCUCUUGAUCUCAGAGCUACAGAUCUGGUAUAACACAUGAGUAAUUAAAAGCAAUUUAAGGAAAUGUACCACAGAGCAAGAAGUUAACACUACAAAAACUCCACAAAGACAAACAGAGUGAUGCUUAAAACAACAUGAUCACUGUGAAAUGUGGUCAUCCACUUGCAGGAGAGCUGACAAAUAUGUCCUAAGUGAAAGAGCUGGAGCAAAUCAGCCCUCAGCCACACUGCUCCCUGCCCUGCCUCUGCUCAGGGGAACUGAAGGGAUGGGUUCCAAAGAAUAACUAAUUCGCCCUCUUUUGCAAAGAUUCUGAACUGGUCCUUGAAUUGUUGCACGCGAUGAGAAGAAGAGCAGCCACUGGGCUCUGUCCAAAGGACACAGAGGGAAUUACACGUUGCAGAGUCACCACUGUAGAGCACAGGUGGCUCUUCUACCUCGAGCGAGGUCAAAACACCAGACAGCACAGCAGGUAAAUCACCACGGACAUAAACGCCAGUUGUGCUCCAUCCCCAGGGAAGCAGCACUCAUGGUAAUAGAACAGGAGGCUUGGCAGUUGAAAGCAGAGCCCCAGCUUAUUUCACGCUUCCACAUCUCAAUUACCCCAAACACUGCUGAAAACCAGGAGCGUUGUUUCAGAAAGGUGGUCCUGUUUAUGCAGCACCUGACAGGUAUGGAUACCUGCACGGCAGCACUCAGUGCUUAGUGUCUUCAUAUGAAACAACAUCAAAAUGAAACACCUGCACUACCAACUGCUAUUACCUUUGGUUCUUCACCCCAAAGCAGUUAUAUAUCUUAGUCACAAACACUGCCACUAUUCCAUACAUUUCUAUUGCCUCCAGCUGAGCACUUACAGCCAGUUUCUCAGCCAAUAACAAAAAAUUAAUGUAGCUCUGUGACCAACGAUGAGAUCAUGCCUCAGCAUCAGCUUAGGAUCAGGACCACCACAUCCUUGUAGCUUUGGUGACCAGCUGCAUCUCAGAAGUUCAAGGCAUAAUGAAGCAUCAGACAACGAGUGCUCCUACAGAAAAGCAACUAGAAUAUGUCAGAGAAAGGAAAAAAGCCAUUGCAUUGCCCUGCUUUGUUUAUCAUAGGAAAACUGAAAGCCUUUCUUAUGGCAGCUAAUAAAUUGCUAGCACAGCACAAUGUGCCUUAUUAAAAGACCAGGUUGGUUCACCUAAUAACAUUGCUUUCCCCUCCAUUACAGGCAAAAGGCUGCUACAGUGCACAGAGCAAGUGAGAAAUCACACUGGUAAUUUGCCUUUAGGCAGAACCUUAUCAGCCGGAGCACCUCAAAGCUUCCAGCACAGAAGCACUGACCCCAACUUCAUCUCUAACACCAACAGGAAUAGAAAAGCUCAGCAUAUUCUAAUACUGAAAUAGAAGUGCUUCCGAGGUUUAGACAGCAUGUGAUAAAAAACAAGGCAAGCACACAACCUAGCAGAAAAUCACCAACAGUCCUCUUUGCUCUCUUAGGACUCACAAAGACUAGAAAGAACUGUGAGGAUGCUCAAAUAUCCAGAUAUUCCCCUUGAUCACUAGUUCCCAAGCUUCUGAACAUCUGCACUUCCAGAUUACACCAUUCAAUACACCCUUUUAUGAGCAACAGCAAUCCUGUGAUGACAGGCUGCAUGGACAGCCUCAUGAGGAGGGCACCAAAUAGAUGCAGAAACAGCCAAGUCCACCAGCUGCUGGAAUGUGAAAAAAGCUGGGGAUCAAUCUGGGAGGCUGAGCAGCCACUGUGGUGAGGAGUAGGCAGCAGCUGACUUGAACGGGGGAGUUAUUAGGUGCUGGCAUCUCUUGCUAGAUCACAGUUAAUGAGGCUUAGUUCUUGCCUUGUUUGGGAAGAAAGGAAGACAUGCAGUCAAGAAUGCAAUAGCAUUUUCAGUAGCCACAGCCUUUGUAAAACUCUGGAAACACCUUAACCUAAAGCUUUCACAGCACCUCCCAGCCCUGCACAGACAGACUGCUCAGCUUGUACCACACACUCCUACACCCUUGAGAAGAGUCCCCAGGCAUCCUACUCAUACCCUUUCUGACCCAUUCAGGAGAAAGCCCUGAGGAAGACCCCUAAAGCUGUCAUCAUCGAGAUCUGGAGCAACAGCUGAUGCAUCACUUUACUGAGCUCUCACGAGAGAAUAAAACAUCUGUUUUCGUCCCUCAGACUGAAAACAGACGCCUUUUUAGUUGUGUCCAACAGAUACUCAAUUAUAUGACAACACAGGGAAGCACAAUGCAUCUAAAUGAGGGCACACCCUUGGGCCACAUGGGUGCCUGGCAUGUGGUCAGGAACCCAAAGAGGUUUUGCAGUCUCAGGCAAGCUACUCAUCCACAGGCAUCUGGGGUCCGAGACACCUGCACACGGACAAGGGUAGAUUUCUUGCCUUGGCACUUGGAGGCUGCAAUGUCUGCAGAACUGCUCUGGAGCAAACACCACAUGCACCAAGCCCAGCAGCUCAGCUGGGUAAUUGUGGCUUUUCUAACAAGCUGUCUGGAAAACCUAAUUCCAUACAAAAAACACUCCUCAUCAUCCUACUCACCUGAUAUUCCAGAUAUAAAACAGGUGACAGUUGUUUGACUGUAGGAUAAUUGUUCAACAAAAUCUGCCUGGAAAGAUUUUAUUGGCUAUUGUUGUUCUGCUGGAAACCCACUGCUACAAAAGAACUCCUGCAGCUGGCACUCGUGGAAGCCUAGUCAUAGCAGAUCAAGGUGAACAGCCUGCCAAUUACUGGUUCAAGAUCCAGUGUAUCCUUGGGACACAAGGGUGGGCUGACACUGGUAAGGCAGCUCAAGCAGUACCCAUGGCCAAAGUGCUCCAGUCUCCAGAACUGUUCAACCGGAGAGACAUUUUACAGAUUUAAAAAAAAAA